UAAAUUAAUUAAGGGUGGAUGGUGGAUGCCUUGACACGUAAUGGCGAUGAAGGACGUAGCGUAACUGCGAUAAGUCUCGGGGAGGUGUGUAGCAACCUGUGAUCCGGGAAUUUCCGAAUGGGGCAACCCGAUUGCGUAAACCGCAAUCAUCUUGCAGCAAUGCAAGGAGCGCACCCGGCGAAGUGAAACAUCUCAGUAGCCGGAGGAAAAGAGAAUAACAAUUUAUUCCCCAAGUAGCGGCGAGCGAAAAGGGAAGAGCCUAAACUUUUUUCUUGGUCGCAAGAUCAAGGAAUGAGGGUUGUAAGAUAGAGAACAUCUUGGAGUAUUCGCUAAUAAUGCGAAUUGAUUUCAAAAUAAUGCGAAUUCGUAUUAUUUGCAGUUAUUCGCGUUAUUCGCGAUUACUCCGGGGAGAAGUUAUAAAUUCAUUUGUUAGCCGAAUCCGCUGGAAAGCGGAGCCAUAGCGAGUGAUAGCCCCGUAGGCGAAAACGAAUGAACUUCUUGUUUUUUAUUCUUGAGUACUUCGAGGGAAGAUUACCUUGAAGGAAUCCGGGAGGACUAUCUCCUAAGGCUAAAUACAUUACGUGAUCGAUAGUGAACUAGUACCGUGAGGGAAAGGUGAAAAGCAGCCCGGUUAGGGCGGUGAAAUAGUACCUGAAACCAUCCACUUACAAGGACGCGGAGCCCCAAGUAUGUCUCGCAAGAGACGUGCGGGGUGACGCGGUGCCUAUUGAAGAAUGAGCCAACGAGUUUACAUGUGUUGCAAAGUCUAAUCCGCCUUGAGCGGAGGAGGCGCAGCGAAAGCGAGUUUGAAUAGAGCGUUACUUCCUCAACGUGCAACGCGCAAGCAAUUGUGCCCUGCACGUUUGGGUAGUUAGCAGUAUAUGUAAGACCCGAAACCAGACGAGCUUACCUUGGCCAGGGUGAACUCUGUAGAAAUACGGAGGGAGGCCCGCACCGGUUGACCGUGCAAUAUCAUCGGAUGAGCUGGGGUAAGGAGUGAAAAGCUAAUCGAGUUUGGUAAUAGCUGGUUCUCUCCGAAAUAGUUUUAGGACUAGCCUUAUGUGUUUCUCUUUGGGGGUAGAGCACUGGAUGAAAAUCAAAGGGCGAAAGCUCGGGUUCUCAAUCAAACUCCGAAUACCAGAGAGUAAAAGCAUAAGAGUCAGACUGCGGGGGCUAAGCUCCGUGGUCGCGAGGGGAAGAGCCCAGAUCGCCGUCUAAGGUCCCUAAAUCUGUGCUAAGUGUAAAAGGAAGUCAUUAUCCUAUAACAGGUAGGAGGUUGGCUCAGAGGUAGCCAUCCUUUAAAGAGUGUGUAACAACUCACUAUUCGAGGAUAGUGGCGCCGAAAAUUUAUCGGGGCUCAAGCACAGUACCGAAGACGCGGAUUCAUUUCGCUUCGGCGAGAUGAGUGGUAGGAGAGCAUUUCUUGUGCACUGAAGCAGGACCCGUGAGGGCCUGUGGAGCGCAAGGAAGAGAGAAUGUUGGCAUGAGUAAUCACAAAGCCGAUGAAAAAUCGGCUCCCCGCAAAUCCAAGGUUUCCUCCGCAACGAAUAUCGGCGGAGGGUUAGGCGAUCCUUAGGCAAUGGUGAAAACCGCAGCUGAUGGGUAGCUGGUUAAUAUUCCAGCCCUUCCAUUUCUUUCGAUGGGGUGACGGGAUGCAGUAUCCAGAUCAUCUUAAUGGUUUGGUGUUCUUGAUCGAGAGUGAGGUCCAGGCAAAUCCGGAUCUCGGUCCCGCAAGGGACGAACUCCAGAGUAGAGGCGACUUCGAUCUUUUGGUCGGGGGAGUCUGGAGAGCGCAUCUCCGAGAAAAACCUCUAAGGUUAGGGGAAUGGGACUCGUACCGUAAACCGCCACAGGUGGAUGAGGCGAGUAGCCUCAGGGGAACGGGUGAAUCUUCGUUAAGGAACUCGGCAAAAAAGCUAGGCGUAACUUCGGGAUAAGCCUUUCCGUCGCAAGACGGACGCAGCUAAAGUAUCUCUGGCGACUGUUUACCAAAGACACAGCUCCCUGCGAACUCGUAAGAGGAUGUAUAGGGGGUGACGCCUGACCGAUGCGAGAAGGUUAACGAUGGGGGUGCUAUGUCCGCAAGGAUGUAGUGCUCACUGUCCGAAGCCCUCGUCAAUGUCGGCCGUAACUAUAACGGUCCAAAGGUAGCGCAAUUCCUUUCCGGGUAAGUUCCGGAGCGCAUGAAUGGCGUAACGACCGGAGAACUGUCUCAACGAAGAGCCCGAUGAAAAUGCGAUACCCGUGAAGACGCGGGUUACUGGCAGUAAGACGAAAAGACCCCGGAAGCUUUACUGUAGUUUGAUAUUGACAGUAAUUGUUCAGUGCGUAGCGUAGUGGGGAGGAUUUGAAGGUUCGGUUUCGGCCGGACUGGAUCCAACAAUGAAACACCCAUCUCUGAAUGGUUACUUUCUAACCUUCGCGGCAAAAACGCGAGGGGACAGUGUCUGACGGGCAGUUUUUCUGGGGCGGAACCCUCCCAAAAGGUAACGGAGGGGCCUAUCAAGGUCGGCUUAGCGCGGAUGGAAAUCGCGCUGGACGUGUAAAGGCACAAGCCGGCUUAACUGCAAGACCUACAAGUCGCGCAGGUGCGAAAGCAGAGCUUAGCGACCCGACUAUUCUUUAUAGAAAGGUAGGAGAUAACGGAUAAAAGUUACUCCGGGGAUAACAGGCUGGUGGAGUCCGAGCGUUCCUAGCGACGACUCCGCUCGGCACCUCGAUGUCGGCUCACCACAUCCCGGGGCUGGAGAAGGUCCCAAGGGUUUGGCUGUUCGCCAAUUAAAGUGGUACGCGAGCUGGGUUCAAACCGUCAACAAAGAACCCAUAACGACAAUCGAACACGGCGGCAUGAGAAAGUAAUUUCUCAUGAAAAAUCGACUCAUAUCGGAGAAACCCUACCGGUGCAUAACCUGGUAUCGAAGGGCGAUUCCGAGGGAAGUCCUCCGACGUCAUGUCGGAGUGACCCCUUAGAGACUUGGCUACGUGUGGCCGGAUACGGAUCUGAUUCGUAUAAUACGUCGAUCUCCUUCUUCGCUCAUAUGAGCUUCGAAGGAUGAUGGUAUAGUCCAAACAUUUAGUAAUAAAUGAGUAUUGCGUGAGACAGGUUAGUCUCUAUCUACUGUCAG
rnacentral:rRNA from 1 species